AGUGAACGCUGGCGGUAGGCCUAACACAUGCAAGUCGAACGGCAGCACAGUAAGAGCUUGCUCUUACGGGUGGCGAGUGGCGGACGGGUGAGGAAUACAUCGGAAUCUACUUUUUCGUGGGGGAUAACGUAGGGAAACUUACGCUAAUACCGCAUACGACCUACGGGUGAAAGCAGGGGAUCUUCGGACCUUGCGCGAUUGAAUGAGCCGAUGUCGGAUUAGCUAGCUGGCGGGGUAAAGGCCCACCAAGGCGACGAUCCGUAGCUGGUCUGAGAGGAUGAUCAGCCACACUGGAACUGAGACACGGUCCAGACUCCUACGGGAGGCAGCAGUGGGGAAUAUUGGACAAUGGGCGCAAGCCUGAUCCAGCCAUACCGCGUGGGUGAAAAAGGCCUUCGGGUUGUAAAGCCCUUUUGUUGGGAAAGAAAAGCAGCAGGUUAAUACCCCGCUGUUCUGACGGUACCCAAAGAAUAAGCACCGGCUAACUUCGUG
rnacentral:rRNA from 1 species